AUUGAACGCUGGCGGCAGGCCUAACACAUGCAAGUCGAACGAGUGGCGGACGGGUGAGUAAUGCUUGGGCAUCUAGCUUAUGUAGCGGGAUAACUACGGGAAACUGUAGCUAAUACUGCGUACCAUAGGUUGAGCCCACGUGGGAUUAGGUAGUUGGUGAGGUAAAGGAUCACCAAGCCGACGAUCCCUACCUGGUCUGAGAGGGUGACCAGCCACACGGGGACUGAGACACGGCCCAGACUCCUACGGGAGGCAGCAGUAGGGAAUAUUGCGCAAUGGGGGAAACCUGACGCAGCCAUGCCGCGUGAAUGAAGAAGGCCUUCGGAUUGUAAAGUUCUUUCGGUAGCGAAGCGUUAACUACAGAAGAAGCACCGGCUAACUCCGUGCCAGCAGCCGCGGUAAUAC
rnacentral:rRNA from 1 species